rnacentral:rRNA from 1 species
GGCCCUUCGGGGUACUCGAGUGGCGAACGGGUGAGUAACACGUAGGUGAUCUGCCCUGCACUUUGGGAUAAGCCUGGGAAACUGGGUCUAAUACCGAAUAUGACCGCGCACUUCCUGGUGUGUGGUGGAAAGCUUUUGCGGUGUGGGAUGGGCCCGCGGCCUAUCAGCUUGUUGGUGGGGUAAUGGCCUACCAAGGCGACGACGGGUAGCCGGCCUGAGAGGGUGACCGGCCACACUGGGACUGAGAUACGGCCCAGACUCCUACGGGAGGCAGCAGUGGGGAAUAUUGCACAAUGGGCGCAAGCCUGAUGCAGCGACGCCGCGUGAGGGAUGACGGCCUUCGGGUUGUAAACCUCUUUCAAUAGGGACGAAGCGCAAGUGACGGUACCUAUAGAAGAAGGACCGGCCAACUACGUGCCAGCAGCCGCGGUAAUACGUAGGGUCCGAGCGUUGUCCGGAAUUACUGGGCGUAAAGAGCUCGUAGGUGGUUUGUCGCGUUGUUCGUGAAAACUCACAGCUUAACUGUGGGCGUGCGGGCGAUACGGGCAGACUAGAGUACUGCAGGGGAGACUGGAAUUCCUGGUGUAGCGGUGGAAUGCGCAGAUAUCAGGAGGAACACCGGUGGCGAAGGCGGGUCUCUGGGCAGUAACUGACGCUGAGGAGCGAAAGCGUGGGGAGCGAACAGGAUUAGAUACCCUGGUAGUCCACGCCGUAAACGGUGGGUACUAGGUGUGGGUUUCCUUCCUUGGGAUCCGUGCCGUAGCUAACGCAUUAAGUACCCCGCCUGGGGAGUACGGCCGCAAGGCUAAAACUCAAAGAAAUUGACGGGGGCCCGCACAAGCGGCGGAGCAUGUGGAUUAAUUCGAUGCAACGCGAAGAACCUUACCUGGGUUUGACAUGCACAGGACGCCAGUAGAGAUAUUGGUUCCCUUGUGGCCUGUGUGCAGGUGGUGCAUGGCUGU